ACGAACGCUGGCGGCGUGCUUAACACAUGCAAGUCGAACGAUGAAGCCCUUCGGGGUGGAUUAGUGGCGAACGGGUGAGUAACACGUGGGCAAUCUGCCCUUCACUCUGGGACAAGCCCUGGAAACGGGGUCUAAUACCGGAUAUGACACACGGCCGCAUGGUCUGUGUGUGGAAAGCUCCGGCGGUGAAGGAUGAGCCCGCGGCCUAUCAGCUUGUUGGUGGGGUGAUGGCCUACCAAGGCGACGACGGGUAGCCGGCCUGAGAGGGCGACCGGCCACACUGGGACUGAGACACGGCCCAGACUCCUACGGGAGGCAGCAGUGGGGAAUAUUGCACAAUGGGCGAAAGCCUGAUGCAGCGACGCCGCGCGAGGGAUGACGGCCU
rnacentral:rRNA from 1 species